AGAGUUUCGAUCCUCGGCUCAGGACGAACGCUGGCGGCGUGCUUAACACAUGCAAGUCGAACGGAAGGCCCUGCUUUUGUGGGGUGCUCGAGUGGCGAACGGGUGAGUAACACGUGAGUAACCUGCCCUUGACUUUGGGAUAACUUCAGGAACUGGGGCUAAUACCGGAUAGGAGCUCCUGCUGCAUGGUGGGGGUUGGAAAGUUUCGGCGGUUGGGGAUGGACUCGCGGCUUAUCAGCUUGUUGGUGGGGUAGUGGCUUACCAAGGCUUUGACGGGUAGCCGGCCUGAGAGGGUGACCGGCCACAUUGGGACUGAGAUACGGCCCAGACUCCUACGGGAGGCAGCAGUGGGGAAUAUUGCACAAUGGGCGGAAGCCUGAUGCAGCAACGCCGCGUGCGGGAUGACGGCCUUCGGGUUGUAAACCGCUUUCGCCUGUGAUGAAGCGUGAGUGACGGUAAUGGGUAAAGAAGCACCGGCUAACUACGUG
rnacentral:rRNA from 1 species